rnacentral:lncRNA from 1 species
AAAAAGGUAUAUGAACACUUGUGCUGUUUGACAGAAAUGUUUACUAUAGCAUCAAGGUACACGAUCAGAAAACAGAUUACAUAUAAGAUACAAAAUGGCGACAGAGAUAGAGAAGAAUAGUUAUUUAUUCAUACGCUGGCCGGGGUGCACUUAAGCACAAAAGCUGCUAUCAAUUGCCUUAGCUGAACUUGAUGGUGAUUUCUUUUGGUGUAAUAAAGGCCUUGGAGCACAUGGCGGCGCAGGAGACAUCGUUAUUACCGUUGGAGCAGCGUCUGAAGCACCCAUCGAAGCAGCCACCAGCGCUGAUGGCAGGCACUGCUGAAAUCACCAGCAUGGAGAUGAGGAGGAAGGCAACCACAGCCAUCUUGGUGUCAGCCAUUUCUCUAUUCGAUGAUGCGAUGCUGGUAUGGUCCAAACACUGUCGAUGGGGGUUGUUUCGUGGUUGCAGGUGGCAAAUGGGGCAUCGCACGAUGGGUAUUUAUAGGGCGGCAUCAUAGGUACGGCAGGAUGCGAUUGUGGUUAACAUGGAAUGAAGACUAGAAUAGCUAAUUUACUGGCUUAAGUAGAUUUACGGAGUCAAACGGACUUGAAAUCACUAAAAUUAAUAUUUUUUUAAUUAAAAAAUAAAAUUAUUGCCUUCAGUUAUUUUUGGACCGAUUCCAUUCUCUAUUUAUUUAUUUAUUUUAUUCGAUAAAAGCUAUUUAGUUUGUUAUUAUUGCUAUGUUUUGUUGUCAUUUGAAACCUUUCAAUAAUUCACCAAAAAGGGCUUUUACUGGAAUAUACAAAAUAUUUAAUGCCAAUAUCAAUUAAGGGUACUUUUGGUUUUAUGGAAAUCAUUCCAAGGAAAAGUAGAACCUUAACAUGGGAAAGGAAAAUUUUUUGAUAAAAUUGUUUACAAGCUCUAUAAAUUUAUUAAUUUUCUCAUGAAACAAUCAAUCAAAAAAAAUAUAUAUUUUUAGAGAAGACAAGUUUUUUUGGAGCAACUUUACUUGCAACAAAACAUAUCCAAAAUGCAUUUAUUACGAGUCAAACGUAGAGUAAAUGAAUAGUAAUUUUUAACGUUGGUAGGGUCAUUUGUCCUAGAGAUCCUGGAUUAGAGAUGACCUCAAAUUUGCCAAUGAGAUCUUGUUAAUUAAUCAAACUUCUUAAUUUCAUCCAAGAAGUGAAAUUACAACAUUGUCAAAUGAAGAACAAACUACUAGGUAUCUCAUCAAGCUCAGGCAUAUUCAAAUGCAAAAUAAAAUAUAUAUCAUAAAGCAACACCGUCAAGAAAGAAACAAACAAAAAAGUAUAUGAACACUUAUGCGGUUUGACGAAAAUGUUUACUAUAGCAUCAAGGUACAUGACCAGAAAACAGAUUGCAUACAAGAUACAAAAUGCCAACAGGGAAGAAUAGUUAUUUAUUCAUAUGCUGGCUGGGGUGCACUCAAGCCCAAAAGCUGCUAUCAAUUGCCUUGGUUGAACUUGCUGGUGAUUUCUUUUGGUAUAAUGCAGGCCUGGGAGCACAUGGUGGCGCAGGAGACAUCGUUAUUGCCGUUGGAGCAACGUCUGAAGCACUCGUCGAAGCAGCUAACGGUGCUGAUGGCGGGCACUGGUGAAACCACCAGCAUGGAGAUGAGGAGGAAGGCAACCACAGCCACCUUGGUGUCAGCCAUUUCUCUAUUUGACGACGGGAUGCUGGUAUGGUGCAAACACUGAUGAUAGGGGUUGUUUCAUGGUUGCAGGUGUCAAAUGGGGCAUCGCGCUGUGGGUAUUUAUAGGGCGGCAUCGUAGGUACGGCAGGAUGCAUUUGUGGUUAACAUGGAAUGACGGCAAGAAUAACUAAUUUACAGGCUUAACUAGAUUUACGGAGUCGAACGGACUUGAAAUCACUAAAAUUAAUAUUUUUUUAAUUGAAAAUUAAAAUUAAUGCCUUCAGUUAUUUUUGGAUCGAUUCCAUUCUCUAUGUAUUUAUUUAUUUUAUUUGAUAAAUACUAUUUAGUUUGUUAUUAUUGCUAUGUUUUGUUGUCAUUUGAAACCUUUUAAUAGUUUACCAAAAAGGGCUUUUACUGGAAUAUACAAAAUAUUUAAUGCCAAUAUCAAUUAGUGGUAAUUUUGAUUUUAUGGAAAUCAUUCAAGGAAAAGUAGAACCUUAACAUGAGAAAGGAAAAUCUUUGGAUGAAAUUAUUUAUAAAUUCUCUAAAUUUAUUAAUUUUCUCACGAAACAAUCAAUAAAAUAAAAAACAAUAUUUUUAGAGAAGACAAGUUUUUUUGGAGCAACUUUGCUUGCAACAAAACAUAUCCAAAAUACAUAUGAAAAAACCUGAAUCUUAUUGCGAGUUAAACCUAGAGUAAAUGAAUAGUAAUUCUUAACUAUGGUAGGGUCAUUUGUCCUAGAGGUCCUGGAUUAGAGAUGACCUCAAAUUUGCCAAUGAGAUCUUGUUAAUUAAUCAAACUUCUUAAUUUGAUCCAAGAGGUGAAAUUACAACAUUGUCAAAUGAAGAACAAACUAGGUAUCUCAUCAAGCCCGGCAUAUUCAAACGCAAAAUAAAAUAUAUAUCACAAAGCCCCACUGUCAAGAAAGAAACAAACAACAAAGUAUAUGAACACCUAUGCUGUUUGACGGAAAUGUUUACUAUAGCAUCAAGGUGCAUGACCAGGAAACAGAUUACAGAUAAGAUACAAAAUGGCAACAGAGAUAGAGAAGAAUAGUUAUUUAUUCAUACGCUAGCUGGGGUGCACUCAAGCCCAAAGGCUGCUAUCAAUUGCCUUGGUUGAACUUGCUGGUGAUUUCUUUUGGUAUAAUGCAGGCCUGGGAGCACAUGGUGGCGCAGGAGACAUCGUUAUUGCCGUUGGAGCAGCGUCUGAAGCACUCGUCGAAGCAGCCACUGCCGCUGAUGGCCGGCACUGCUGAAACAACCAGCAUGGAGAUGAGGAGGACGGCAACCACAGCCAUCUUGGUGUCAGCCAUUUCUCUGUUAGAUGACGGGACGCUGGUAUGGUCCAAACAAUGACGAUGGGGGUUGUUUCGUGGUUGCAGGUGGCAAAUGGGCAUCACGCUGUGGGUAUUUAUGGGGCGGCAUCGUAG